AGUGAACGCUGGCGGUAGGCCUAACACAUGCAAGUCGAACGGCAGCACAGUAAGAUCUUGCUCUUACGGGUGGCGAGUGGCGGACGGGUGAGGAAUACAUCGGAAUCUACUUUUUCGUGGGGGAUAACGUAGGGAAACUUACGCUAAUACCGCAUACGACCUACGGGUGAAAGCAGGGGAUCUUCGGACCUUGCGCGAUUGAAUGAGCCGAUGUCGGAUUAGCUAGUUGGCGGGGUAAAGGCCCACCAAGGCGACGAUCCGUAGCUGGUCUGAGAGGAUGAUCAGCCACACUGGAACUGAGACACGGUCCAGACUCCUACGGGAGGCAGCAGUGGGGAAUAUUGGACAAUGGGCGCAAGCCUGAUCCAGCCAUACCGCGUGGGUGAAGAAGGCCUUCGGGUUGUAAAGCACUUUUGUUGGGAAAGAAAAGCAGCAGGUUAAUACCGCGCUGUUCUGACGGUACCCAAAGAAUAAGCACCGGCUAACUUCGUG
rnacentral:rRNA from 1 species